GAUCCGCACCGGUGGCCUAGAGGUUAUAACGUCUGCCUCAGAUGCGGUAGGUCGUGGGUUCGAUCCCCGGUUGAGUCA